CCUGCCUGAGGCCUCCGUACACUAGGACAUCUCUGGAAUCCAGAUAAAGUCCAAGUUGCAGAUGAGCUCUUCACCCAGAAGAUAUGCUGGAUACUCCCACAUUGUACCCAGCAGAGGAGGAAACCAACUUGGAGAAAAUACAUGAUUUGUUGGCUUGAAACCAAACUUGGAACCCUGACCUUUUAAUUCGACUAGCUAUGUUUUUGUCUUCAUUAAUUGCCUGAGUCACAGCUCCUGCAAAUAAGUAGGGAAGGUGGAUAAAUGUUUUAACAUGAGUGGGUCAGCAACACUGAUAUU